CAUAAAAGCUGAUUGUGACUUAUAUUGUGAUACAAUGUAUCUGAUACCAUGCUCAACAUUUUUGAACUUGCCACCUGAUGUUACAGCUUCUUCUAGUGAGUCCAAUUCUACAAUCUCCAGUGAGAUGGAUGUUGCAGAAUCUGCA